CCGGGCGCCUUUCUAUAGGGUCCGGUGAUCGGGCGCCGGACGCGGUGUCCGGCGUCGUAACCAUGUUGCUCAAAAGGAGGAUGUGGCUAUGACCA
rnacentral:sRNA from 1 species